rnacentral:rRNA from 1 species
UGGAUUCGCUAGUAAUCGCGCAUCAGCCAUGGCGCGGUGAAUACGUUCCCGGGCCUUGUACACACCGCCCGUCAAGCCAUGGGAGCCGGGGGCGCCUGAAGUCCGGGACCGCGAGGACCGGCCUAGGGCGAAACUGGUAACUGGGGCUAAGUCGUAACAAGGUAGC